GGCGGAUGGAGUGUGCGGGGAGCAGUUCUGAUGUGAGCCUCCUGGGACUCCAGCUCUUGGAUCAAAACCCUAACCUGAUCCGGAAGUGGCAUCAUGCGAUGCUUGCUGGCAGACACCCUUCAGCCUCAAGCCCUCUCUUUUUGAAUGUUCAUGCUGAGUCGCCCAGGCUGGGCUCAAACUUGCAGUCCUCCUGCCUCAGUCUCUUCAAGUAUGCCAAGACACCCAGCUUCAAUAGGGCAACUGCUGUUAAAGGUGAAGCUAUGUGUAGCAGAAGCAAGGCACCAAAAGUCCUGGGCAAAAAACAAAAUGCUAAUGUGAUUAAAACACUGGCCUCUUCUUAUUAAUCCUGCAUUUCAAAGGCUUAUAAAUCCUCUGUAGCCAGAGGAGAUAAAAGCGGGCUCAUCCCCAUCCCGGGGCUGACACACUCGCACUGACAUGGUGGCUCAGCAGCCAUGCCUGAGCAUGCACACGAGUGUGCCCUGGGCCUACCCACAACUGGCUUCCUGAACAACAGCAGGUACAGUCUGCCACUGCUCCUCUGUCUCUCUUUGUCUCCCUCUGUCUCUCUC
rnacentral:lncRNA from 1 species